UCUGGAAAGGCACAAGAAAAGCAGGCAGUUCCCUAAACAGAGAGAGAAUCUGUUCGAAUGACCUCAGCCAUGCUGGCGGUUGUUUCCUGAAGCAAUGUCCUUCUCAGGCUGCUCACUGUGGAAAACCAAAUCACAUGCCUGACAAUCAGUGCCUGUGCUUUACCCUGUUUAGUGCCUCUUUUCACCACAUCCUCUUUCCAGUGCUGGAAAAGUGCCUAUGAAAAUAGCAGGUCUCCUGUGCAGAGGCAAAGAUGAGAGGGGAAUGAGAAGUGCAAUUUAAUGUUAUUCUCUGCUACAUCCUUGCCAGCAACACUGCUUUGACUCAUGCGGUUAGUGAUGUUCACUGAAGAUAAGGCUGUACGAGGUACAAAGCAGUAUUAAGUGAUCAGGCACUGAGGUGUUGGAGUACAUUUACUGCCAGCAGCCCUGAGCCACUGUGUUAGGCACAAGAAUGGGGUGCUGGCUGUUCCAAACUAGCAUGAAAAUGCAAGAUCAGAAAUAUAUAUGAAAGGAAUUUCUUCGUGUUAUUUACUAUCUACAAAUGAUAGCAGCUGCCCCCAACAGCAAUACAAACACAGGUGUAUUUUGAUAGCUAGCUGCAGGAUAAGGUGGGGUACAGAUCUCUGUGUCUUCUUCAUAGCUUGUUCAGAAGUGUUUUGUGAACAGUAAAUCGUUUCAUGCAGGGUUCUGUGCUUGUCUACAGUUGGAAUGAGAGCUUUGGAAAGUGGGAGUGUAGUAGAAAAAGAGAAGUAUGGACUUGGCUUGGAGGAAUAUGAGCUUGAAGUAGGAGAGUGAAGAAAAGACAGAGGAGGAGGAGAGCUUUGACAGACUCAUGACAUAAAUUUCUUGGAGGUAAUCCCAAGUGGGUUUAUUCAUGAUGUCAGGCAUAUCUCUGUGCUGACUUGUGAGCAAACUGGGAAGUACAAUUUUUUUCCCUGUAUGAAACUUCAGUGCAUACACAUUUUGUCUAC
rnacentral:lncRNA from 1 species